GGGAGCACAGGGAUAGUUUGAGAUGAGCUUUGAAGGUUGUAGGAGGCAGCAGAAUAAGGUCCGUCUGUUUAACAAACUUACUUAACAUACUUUUUGACCAACAUUUUUUUGUAGGUACCCUUCUGUAUUUCAAAUAUUGGACCACAAAUGGGCAAUACAGCUUGUGUUUCACUCGAUUCACACGCUGCAGACUUUUUUUUUGUCCUGUAGCUUCCUUGAUUUGCAGCACCCCGUGAGUCAAACCAGGCGUCAAAACCUGUUGUCAGAGGUCUGUUGUAAGUUUUACGACCGAUGCAACGCGGCAGAGCCUGACACCUCUGCCAGGUGAGGGGAAGCUGAGGCGUAAGAAGUAGGAAAUUCUCAUGGCAGUCUAAUCGGAGAAGAUGAGCUAGUCUUCCCAACAGCCAUUUGGGCUGGAGCUAGUUGGUGGUUAGCACAUCAAGGGAGUCCCCACAGGACAGUGUAGGAUAAGCUUGUUGAACCCCAUGUGGCCUCAAGGUGCUCAGCACAGAAAACGCAGCCGAAAUCAGUUCAGGUAAGGCCCCAAGGAGAGGACACGGCCCGUCCCGACCUCCACUUUUUAUUUCACCUCCUUCUCCUCCCUCCUUUCCUUCUUUUUCUGCGUCCUCUACUCUCCACCCUCUCCUCCAUCCUCACUGCACACCCCGUCCUGCUCUCACACUCGCUCGGCCUCUUGCAGCUGAAGCAACACGCCUUGCCGUGGCUGGUCAAACGGAACCAAGUCAGGUGUUUCUGUGAGGUUUGGUCCCCUUCAACCAGCUACUGCGCCGUGAAUUCAGUCAGCGUGGAAUCAAAGACACAGUGGCGUUGUGGUGCAUGCUGCAUACUCUUGAGGCGGUAGUCUACUGACAAUGGUCGAUGGUUUUCUUCAGUCACGUGAUGUUGUUUGUUUCCUGUAUGGCAAAUAAAUUAAUAAAUUGAAGUUUGAUUUAAUGAUUGUAAAAUACA